rfam:Medicago truncatula strain A17 chromosome 1, whole genome shotgun sequence.
CCCUUAACUUAUUUUUUGGUUUCGUUUUGGUCCCUUAACUUAUUUUUUGGUUUCGUUUUGGUCCCUUAACCUAUUUUUUGGUUUCAUUUUGGUCCCUUAACUCUAAUACAUUCAUCCUAACAUAAAGGAUCAAAGUGGUUGACGGAGGAAGAGUUAAGGGACCAAAACGAAACCAAAAAGUAAUUUAAAGGACCAAAACGAAACUUUUAAUAGUUAAGGGACCAAAACGAAACCAAAAAGUAAGUUAAGGGAUCAAAACGAAACUUUUAAUAAUUAAGGGA